UGCCAGUGCUCAGAACUUACAGGAUCUGCCAGGCUUGCUCAAAUGCGAUGGACUCAAGGUUGGUCUUGAACUCACUAUGUAUCCAGGAAUGACCUUGAAUUUCUGAUCCUCCUGCUUCUACCGCUCAAGUGCUGGAAUUACAGACACGAGCCUCACCUUGCCUAUGGAGUACUGGGAUUCAACCCAAGGCUCUAUGUUCGCUAGGAGGACCCUGGGGGUCGCGACCCACAGGUUGAGAACUUCAAAAGGAAGCCACGCUGGUGGUAUGCAUCAACUGUUUAUUGAAAGGCGAAGCAAGAUGGAGGAGGUUGAUGCUCAUACAUCCUCAAAUCUCAUCUCGAACCGUUCCUCUAAGGCACCUUCCCGGAGACUUGGGCUCGGGCAGGUGUCAUUUCUCUUUACAAAGCCCAGAGCCGAGUGACCCUUUAGUGCAGCCACCUCUGAACAGAUUUGGCCAUGGAUUUUAGUUUUUAGGGCCAUGAGUCAGCACUGUAGCACCGAGAAGCUGGGCUGUGUGAAUUGAUAACACAAGGAGCUCGCUUGAAGACUUCAGAAGAAGCUGGUAAACUUAUUAGCCCUUGGCUGGAUCCACCUCUGCCAGAAGGCAUCCAACCUCCGGUCUCUGUUGUCGGAACCUAUUCACACCGUACUUUUGGCCCUUGAACAUGAAGACUCCUGGCCACCCUAGCAUCUCUCUUAUAGCCAUGAUCUGGCCUCAGUCCAACGCCACCUUCUCCCCAAAGCCACAGGUGCCAUCCCUUUGUCCUUACCUUCCAACACAGUGAGGGCCAGGGUCGGUUGAUAUACCGAAUGGGGAUUCUCUCUGGGUUAUAGGGGAGAGUGGUGGUGCCCAGCCAGUCAUUGUAGAAGAGAUUAGGAUAGAAGUCAAACCCAUACCAUGUACUUUCCUCCACACUGGUGCCAUGACUACAGACACAGGGGCGACUGCAGCUCAUCACGGAUCCCUGUGGGCACAGCAACAGAGGGAGGUCAGUAGAGUUGCCUUUCAUCCCUGAGUGAGGUCCCCUCUCCACCUCUCUGUCACCUCGCCCUCACAGGCCACCUACCCUUUCAGCAUCCUUCCUUAAGUUCGUGCACGAGCCAGGAGUUUUCCGCUUAACACCCCCCCCCCCCCCCGUAGCUGUCUGUCCGCCUGAGUGUUUUCUCUGAGGACCAUCUGGCAUCUGGAAUGUGGCUCUGGAGCCUCACUGUCGGACUGAGUCCCAGGGCCCACAGCGUCUUUGAUGUGACUUUAGAUUGGGUCCUGACCUCUCGGGCUUCCCUUGUUGGUGAAAUAGAACUAAUAACGACCUUGUCUGGGAAAUAGGGCUAACGAUGACAGCUGUUUCACUCAAUGAUCUUCUGUAAUUUUUAUGGCAUUGUCUUCUUCCAAUUUACUUACUACCCGUGUGAUGUACACAUAUGUGCGGGCAAACCCGUGUAGAAGUGAAAGGAAGUGUUUCAGAGUCACCUCUCCCCUUUGACCAAGUGAAUCCCCCAGCCAUCAGUUUGGCAGCAGCAUGUGUCCUUACCCCCAUGAGCCAUCUUGACAACUCCAAUUACUAUUCUUUGUUUUUGUUUUUAUUUCCUUCCUCAACUUUUGGGGCUCCCAUGUUUACAGUGAGAGAUCCUUAUGUUCCCCCUCAAAACUUCUGUCCUUUUAGAACCAUUUCUCGGGGUAACUUUCAUAGACGAUACUCGUGCAGUUGGGUGGGAGUCUUCACACUGUAUAGUCCUAAAAGCCUGAGGCAGAUUUCCCCUAUACACAAGUCCCAAGGAAUUGUGAGUUCAGGAUUAAGGGCUCUUGGUCCUUUUGACUACUAGAUUUCCAGGAAGACCAUUUAGGAACCCACAAAAGGAGACUCUGAGAUCUUGGGGAUGGAAGGGACCUGUGUCCAUCGAGGUACUGGGGGGAAAAACGUGGCUCUUUCUGCUGCUUCAUUCCCAUCUCCCUCAGCGCCACGUGCAGCUUCAACCAAAAUAAAACCAGUGGACUUGU
rnacentral:lncRNA from 1 species